CCUACGGGAGGCAGCAGUGGGGGAUAUUGCACAAUGGGGGAAACCCUGAUGCAGCGACGCCGCGUGGGCGAAGAAGUAUUUCGGUAUGUAAAGCCCUAUCAGCAGGGAAGAAGAAAUGACCGUACCUGCGUCAGAAGCACCCGCUAAAUACGUGCCAGCAGCCGUGGUAAUACGUAUGGUGCAAGCGUUAUCCGGAUUUACUGGGAGCAAAGGGAGCGCAGGCGGCAGGGCAAGCCUGAUGUGAAAGCCCGCGGCCCAACCGCGGGACUGCAUUGGGAACUACCGGGCUGGAGUGCCGGAGAGGUAGGCGGAAUUCCUAGUGUAGCGGUGAAAUGCGUAGAUAUUAGGAGGAACACCAGUGGCGAAGGCGGCCUACUGGACGGUGACUGACGCUGAGGCUCGAAAGCGUGGGGAGCAAACAGGAUUAGAUACCCUGGUAGUC
rnacentral:rRNA from 1 species